UACGGAGGGUGCAAGCGUUAUCCGGAUUCAUUGGGUUUAAAGGGUGCGCAGGUGGGGGCGUAAGUCAGUGGUGAAAUUCUGCCGCUCAACGGUAGGACUGCCAUUGAUACUGCGUUUCUUGAGUAUGGUUGAGGUAGGCGGAAUGUGUCGUGUAGCGGUGAAAUGCAUAGAUAUGACACAGAACGCCGAUUGCGAAGGCAGCUUACUAAGCCAUUACUGACACUGAGGCACGAAAGCGUGGGUAGCGAACAGGAUUAGAUACCCUGGUAGUCCACGCCGUAAACGAUGUUCACUCGCUGUUUGCGAUACACAGCAAGCGGCCGAGCGAAAGCAUUAAGUGAACCACCUGGGGAGUACGAUCGCAAGGUUGAA
rnacentral:rRNA from 1 species